GCCUUUCUAGCCAUCCUAAAUAAUUAUAUCCCUUGUUAACCCCAUUUGAGUCUGUAUCCAUUUGUUUGUUUACACCCCAUAAAAUGUACCCCUUGGCCAAAACACUUCCUUACCCUGUUCAGAGUCAUGUUAAUACAUUUAAAACUGUGUUGAAAAGCUAAGUUUGGGGUAAAAACCCCAAAAAGCUCCCAAAGCCCAAGAAAGUGCAAAAACAAAA
rnacentral:lncRNA from 1 species